UUCUUUAAAUUAUUGUUUUUAUGCCAUAUAUAAUUUUUUAUCCAAAUAUGGGGCAAAUGAUUUACACCAAAAUUACAGAAGAGAUUGGUUGCCCAAAUGUAUAAGAUUUUCUUAAAUUAUGAUAAGAAGAAGAUCAUUAAACUCUAUAGGAAGGUGGA